AAUUCACCUCCAGCAACAGGAGAAGACUCUAAAAUGGUUGAAGAUGCAGUUGAGGAAGAAGCCACGUUGCUUAGAACUACAGGAGAGUUAUUGCUAUAGUAAUUAGUUGAUGAUCUGAGUCUUUGAUACAAUUCUUGAAUCCCUGAGUUUUGAGCUUCACGAACUAUGAAUCCAGUUUGUUGGUGCUGUUGAGCUUGGUGUUGGCUGUUUUUCCAAAAAUGAGUGCCCAGAGAAGGGACUUGGGUAAGAGGGUCCAAGCCCAGGGUACGGGCAUUUAGUGCACCGGUUGCAACCGUUGGCUCAGAUAUCAUGUGGGUUCCGAUCAUACACCCUUC
rnacentral:misc_RNA from 1 species